UACGGGGGGAGCAAGCGUUGUUCGGAUUUACUGGGCGUAAAGGGCGCGUAGGUGGCCAUCGCAAGUCAAUUGUGAAAUCUCCGGGCUUAACUCGGAAAGGUCAACUGAUACUGCGAGGCUAGAGUGCGAAAGGGGCAACUGGAAUUCUCGGUGUAGCGGUGAAAUGCGUAGAUAUCGAGAGGAACACCUGCGGCGAAGGCGGGUUGCUGGGCCGACACUGACGCUGAGGCGCGAAAGCCAGGGGAGCAAACGGG
rnacentral:rRNA from 1 species